rnacentral:rRNA from 1 species
UGGGGAAUAUUGGACAAUGGGCGAAAGCCUGAUCCAGCCAUGCCGCGUGUGUGAAGAAGGUCUUCGGAUUGUAAAGCACUUUAAGUUGGGAGGAAGGGCAGUAAGCGAAUACCUUGCUGUUUUGACGUUACCGACAGAAUAAGCACCGGCUAACUCUGUGCCAGCAGCCGCGGUAAUACAGAGGGUGCAAGCGUUAAUCGGAAUUACUGGGCGUAAAGCGCGCGUAGGUGGUUCGUUAAGUUGAAUGUGAAAGCCCCGGGCUCAACCUGGGAACUGCAUCCAAAACUGGCGAGCUAGAGUAGGGCAGAGGGUGGUGGAAUGUCCUGUGUAGCGGAGAAAUGCGUAGAUAUAGGAAGGAACACCAGUGGCGAAGGCGACCACCUGGGCUCAUACUGACACUGAGGUGCGAAAGCGUGGGGAGCAAACAGG